rnacentral:rRNA from 1 species
UGUGGACGCCAGUCUGCAUGGAGCCGGCCUUGAAAUACCACCCUUUAAUGUUUGAUGUUCUAACGUUGGCCCCUGACCGGGGUUGCGGACAGUGUCUGGUGGGUAGUUUGACUGGGGCGGUCUCCUCCUAAAGAGUAACGGAGGAGCACGAAGGUUGGCUAAUCCUGGUCGGACAUCAGGAGGUUAGUGCAAUGGCAUAAGCCAGCUUGACUGCGAGCGUGACGGCGCGAGCAGGUGCGAAAGCAGGUCAUAGUGAUCCGGUGGUUCUGAAUGGAAGGGCCAUCGCUCAACGGAUAAAAGGUACUCCGGGGAUAACAGGCUGAUACCGCCCAAGAGUUCAUAUCGACGGCGGUGUUUGGCACCUCGAUGUCGGCUCAUCACAUCCUGGGGCUGAAGUAGGUCCCAAGGGUAUGGCUGUUCGCCAUUUAAAGUGGUACGCGAGCUGGGUUUAGAACGUCGUGAGACAGUUCGGUCCCUAUCUGCCGUGGGCGCUGGAGAACUGAGGGGGGCUGCUCCUAGUACGAGAGGACCGGAGUGGACGCAUCACUGGUGUUCGGGUUGUCAUGCCAAUGGCACUGCCCGGUAGCUAAAUGCGGAAGAGAUAAGUGCUGAAAGCAUCUAAGCACGAAACUUGCCCCGAGAUGAGUUCUCCCUGACUCCUUGAGAGUCCUGAAGGAACGUUGAAGACGACGACGUUGAUAGGCCGGGUGUGUAAGCGCAGCGAUGCGUUGAGCUAACCGGUACUAAUGAACCGUGAGGCUUAACCUUACAACGCCGAAG